rnacentral:rRNA from 1 species
AAGGGCUUGAGAUCAGACUUGGUAUUUUGCGAUCCUUUCCUUCUUGGUUGGGUUCCUCGCAGCUUACUGGGCCAGCAUCGGUUUGGAUGGUAGGAUAAUGACUAAGGAAUGUGGCUCUACUUCGGUGGAGUGUUAUAGCCUUGGUUGAUACUGCCUGUCUAGACCGAGGACUGCGUCUUUUGACUAGGAUGUUGGCAUAAUGAUCUUAAGCCA